rnacentral:rRNA from 1 species
UUUACAAUGGAGAGUUUGAUCCUGGCUCAGGAUGAACGCUAGCGGCAGGCCUAAUACAUGCAAGUCGAACGGGCGCAGCAAUGCGUCAGUGGCGCACGGGUGCGUAACGCGUAGGCAAUCUGCCUACACCUGGGGGAUAGCCCGCCGAAAGGUGGAUUAAUACCGCAUGACACCGCGGGCCGGCAUCGGCUGGCGGUUAAAGAAUUUCGGGUGUAGAUGAGCCUGCGUGCCAUUAGCUAGUUGGCGGGGUAAGGGCCCACCAAGGCGACGAUGGCUAGGGGAGCUGAGAGGCCGAUCCCCCACACUGGCACUGAGAUGCGGGCCAGACUCCUACGGGAGGCAGCAGUAGGGAAUAUUGGGCAAUGGGAGCAAUCCUGACCCAGCCAUGCCGCGUGCCGGAUGAAGGCCUUCUGGGUUGUAAACGGCUUUUGACCGGGAAGAAAAAGCCCCUGCGGGGGAAACCGACGGUACCGGUUGAAUAAGCACCGGCUAACUC